rnacentral:rRNA from 1 species
GAUGAACGCUAGCGACAGGCUUAACACAUGCAAGUCGAGGGGCAGCAUAAAAGUAGCAAUACUUUGGUGGCGACCGGCGCACGGGUGAGUAACGCGUAUGCAACCUACCUAUCAGAGGGGGAUAACCCGGCGAAAGUCGGACUAAUACCGCAUAAAACAGGGGCACCGCAUGGUGCUAUUUGUUAAAAAUUUAUUGCUGAUAGAUGGGCAUGCGUUCCAUUAGGUAGUUGGAGAGGUAACGGCUCACCAAGCCCACGAUGGAUAGGGGGAACUGAGAGGUUGGUCCCCCANACUGGUACUGAGACACGGACCAGACUCCUACGGGAGCAGCAGUGAGGAAUAUUGGUCAAUGGGCGAGAGCCUGAACCAGCCAAGUCGCGUGAAGGAAGAAGGAUCUAUGGUUCGUAAACUUCUUUUGCAGGGGAAUAAAGUGCAGGACGUGUCCUGUUUUGUAUGUACCCUGAGAAUAAGGAUCGGCUAACUCCGUGCCAGCAGCCGCGGUAAA